CCAAAAAGUUAAACAAAGUACAAUAAUCGAAAAACCAAAUCCUGUAUAGUGUGACAGCAAAAUGUCUCAACCUUCAUCAGUGUACUUAUUCGGACGACUCAAAUGGUCAUGCACAACACAAAUAUGAUAAUUUCAUAGUGGUGAAUAUGGAAACAUAACACAACUGGAUGCAGCAGUCUAAGCAAAGAUAUAGGAUGUUCUAAACCUAGAGAUAUCCCUUCUCUUUGCAGCAUUGAAUUGCUCCAUCAAACAUUUCAUUAAGCCCAUACCUAAAUUCGAAUCCAGAAUCUGUCAGCUUCUUGGACGACAGGGCAUGGCCUUUGUGUCCCUUAAUACCCUUCAACGACUCUACUGUUGGUAUUUGGAAUUCUGGGUAGUUGGUAGAAAGAAAUUUAGANNNNNNNNNNNNCUCUUCGAUAGUUAUAACGUCUGAAGAACAAAUGUAUCUCCCUUUAGCAUUAGGAUAUUCAAGAAGGAAGAUGUGUGCCCUUGCUAGAUCAUCAACGUGCACCAUACAUGUAUUGAGAAGAAGAUUAUAUUGAUCUGGCUUACACAGAACCAUGGAUAAUGCUGCCUGCAGUGAGGCAGGGAGAUUCGGACAAAUGAAGGGACCGACAACAAAAGAAGGGAUUA
rnacentral:misc_RNA from 1 species